UUUAUGGAGAGUUUGAUCCUGGCUCAGGAUGAACGCUGGCGGCGUGCCUAAUACAUGCAAGUUGAGCGAACAGACGAGGAGCUUGCUCCUUUGACGUUAGCGGCGGACGGGUGAGUAACACGUGGGUAACCUACCUAUAAGACUGGGAUAACUUCGGGAAACCGGAGCUAAUACCGGAUAAUAUUUCGAA
rnacentral:rRNA from 1 species